UGCUAAGGUAUUUAAUUCACUUAGCACCUCAUGUAAGCACCUUUGGGAGAGGUCUUAGUUUCAACCCGAACCCCGUUUCAAUCUGAUGCCAUACACCGUCUCGCUGUUCAUUCUUUACUGAUUUGGCGACCGCCGUUUCCUAGGUUUACCGGCGAUGCCGAACAGGGGAAGAAAAGCGCCUCCCCAUGCCGCGCGCGGUUCCGAUCUGCUGGUGCAUGCUGCUGCAAAAGGUCUAUCUAAAGCACGACGGUUCUUUCCUCCGCCUCCGGUCUUUCCUACCAUAUGGAAUCUGCAAAAGGAUUUGUAAAUCUCCUGCAAGCUGACUCACACAAAGAUACCUGACGGCUAUUUGAGCUUCGAAGUGCCCCCUUCUAUAGCGGUAUUCUAAUCUGUUGUAGCACAUGAAAUGUGUCCCCCCUCCCCCUCCCACCCAAAAAAAAACAUUUUGUCAGUUGGCAUUAAUGAAUGCUGCCUUGACAAGGUGCUAGAUUUUAAUCACUGAAAACAGCAUUCUCAUUCAGUGAUCAGACCUGUUAUGUGGCAGCUACUCCGGUGAAGUUUCCAGAGACCAUCUUCAGUGCAGAUAUAACUAAGUAUAUAUACAAAAUGUUGGAAUUGGUCGGUCCAGGGCCCAAUUGGC